GGGAUCAAAACAGCAGCAGUCAACAGCAGUUUAACAGGUUUCUGCAGAAAUUCUUGUACAAACUAGUGACAUUUUCUGCAUCUUCCAUAUAUCAGAAGGAAAUUGAAGCCUGGAGGAAAAAAGCAUACAUGUGCCAAUACCACCAUUAUUUCUGGCCUGUCACAUUUAUUUGCUCUCUCUCUGUGCUGUUUUGUAAGACUGACUACUGAAAAAAAAUUCUUGAAGCAGGAAGCAAGAAGUGAAGACCAAUGGGAGAGAGCACCUGAAAGAUUCUGGAGGAUAACAGAGAUCAAGUAACAUGCAACUGCUGAAACAAUGCUUACAGCUCACAUAGUUGUU